AUAAUCUGGUUCCUCUUCAAAUCAUAUAAACUUUCGCCUUUUACUAAAGAUUUCCGUGGAGAGGAACAAUUCUAAGUCUUUUUUUUUUUUUUUCUGAGACGGAGUUUUGCCCUUGUU